GGAUCAAGUUACUACAAGCUCAUGGUGGAUGCCUUGGCGCAAAGGGCCGAUGAAGGGCGUGGUAAGACUGCGAAAAGCCUCGGAUAGCUGUCUAGCAAGCAUAACCGGGGAUUCCCGAAUGGGGAAACCUAUCCCGAUGAACUCGGGAUAGCUCUAACCUAACCCUUAAGUUAGAGCGGGUAAGCGAGGGAACUGAAACAUCUAAGUACCUCGAGGAAUAGAAAUCAACCGAGAUUCCCUAAGUAGUGGCGAACGAACGGGGAAGAGCCCAAACCUUGUAGGCUUAGUGGACUGAGGUCCUAUGUCUAUAGGGUGUUUUAAGGCGUGUCUGGGAGAGCCUCAGCAAUCCCGAGGAGUAAGAAACCUUUUCUCUAGUCGAAGGUCCCUGGAAAGGGUAACCGUAGAAGGUGAAAGUCCUGUAGGCGAAAGAGAAAUGGCUCCUGAUGCGACCUUGAGUACCGCGGGACACGUGGAAUCCCGUGGGAAUAUGGGGGGACCACCCUCCAAGGCUAAAUACCCUUUGCGACCGAUAGUGAACCAGUACCGUGAGGGAAAGGUGAAAAGAACCCCGGGAGGGGAGUGAAAUAGACCUGAAACCAUGAGCUUACAUACGGUCGGAGCCUCGACAUGAUCGGGGUGACGGCGUGCCUAUUGAAGAAUGAGCCGACGAGUUAAUCUUCGCGGCAAGGUUAAGUUCCUUAAGGAA
rnacentral:rRNA from 1 species